AGCUCCAAUAGCGUAUAUUAAAGUUGUUGCAGUUAAAAAGCUCGUAGUUGGCUUUCGGGCUGGUGCCACCGUUGUUUUAGCCUGCGCUAGCAAUAGCAAAAGGCGGACUUUGGUGUGGCCAGUUCUAUUGUUUGGGCUCUCCGGAGAACAAGCAAAUUUUUUUUUCUGUGGAAAGCCGCCAACUGCUCUUUACUGAGUGGGUGGGAAAUAACGGAGUUCCACACGUUUACUUUGAGUAAAUUAGAGUGUUCAAAGCAGGCAUUUGCCGUGAAUACGUUAGCAUGGAAUAAUGGAACAGGACUUUGGUCAUGUUUUGUUGGUUUUUGAGGACCGAAGUAAUGAUUAAUAGGGAUAGUUGGGGGCAUUCGUAUUUCAUUGUCAGAGGUGAAAUUCUUGGAUUUAUGAAAGACGAACUAAUGCGAAAGCAUCUGCCAAGGAUGUUUUCA
rnacentral:rRNA from 1 species